ACGUAGGCAGCAAGCGUUGUUCGGAGUUACUGGGCGUAAAGAGUGCGUAGGCGGUGGCCUAAGUUCGGUGUGAAAUCUCCCGGCUUAACUGGGAGGGUGCGCCGGAAACUGGGCUGCUGGAGUGUGGGAAAGGCAAGCGGAAUUCCUGGUGUAGCGGUGAAAUGCGUAGAUAUCAGGAGGAACACCUGUGGUGUAGACGGCUUUCUGGACCGUAGCUGACGCUGAGACACGAAAGCGUGGGUAGCAAACAGGA
rnacentral:rRNA from 1 species